rnacentral:piRNA from 2 species
UAACAAUCACAUAUAACAAAUAGGA